rnacentral:tRNA from 1 species
AUUGUAGCUCAGUUGGUCAGAGCGGCUGAUUUGUAAUCAGCGGGUCGGGGGUUCGAAUCCCUCCAAU